rnacentral:rRNA from 1 species
GAUGAACGCUAGCUACAGGCUUAACACAUGCAAGUCGCGGGGCAGCAUGGGGGUUGCUUGCAACCCCUGAUGGCGACCGGCGCACGGGUGAGUAACGCGUAUCCAACCUGCCCUUCACCACGGGAUAACCCGGCGAAAGUCGGACUAAUACCGUAUGUUGUCCAUUGACGGCAUCCGAUUUGGACGAAAGGCUGGGCGGUGCAAGGGUGGGGAUGCGUCCGAUUAGCUUGACGGCGGGGUAACGGCCCACCGUGGCUACGAUCGGUAGGGGUUCUGAGAGGAAGGGCCCCCACACGGGAACUGAGACACGGUCCAGACUCCUACGGGAGGCAGCAGUGAGGAAUAUUGGUCAAUGGGCGUAAGCCUGAACCAGCCAAGUAGCGUGCAGGAUGACGGCCCCAUGGGUUGUAAACUGCUUUUAUGCGGGGAUAAAGUGGCCCACGUGUGGGCUUUUGCAGGUACCGCAUGAAUAAGGACCGGCUAAUUCCGUG